rnacentral:rRNA from 1 species
GUAGGUGGCAAGCGUUGUCCGGAAUUAUUGGGGCGUAAAGCGCGCGCAGGCGGUUCGUUUAAGUCUGAUGUGAAAGCCCACGGGCUCAACCGUGGAGGGUCAUUGGAAACUGGAGAACUUGAGUACAGAAGAGGAAAGCGGAAUUCCACGUGUAGCGGUGAAAUGCGUAGAGAUGUGGAGGAACACCAGUGGCGAAGGCGGCUUUCUGGUCUGUAACUGACGCUGAGGCGCGAAAGCGUGGGGAGCAAACAGGAUUAGAUACCCUGGUAGUCCACGCCGUAAACGAUGAGUGCUAAGUGCUAGGGGGUUUCCGGCCCCUUACGUGCUGCAGCUAACGCAUUAAGCACUCCGCCUGGGGAGUACGGCCGCAAAGGCUG